UGCAUAGGAAUCUACCUAGUAGUAUGGGAUAGCCACUAGAAAUGGUGGGUAAUACUGUAUAAUCCCUGCGGGGGAAAGAUUUAUCGCUAUUAGAUGAGCCUAUGUUAGAUUAGCUAGUUGGUAGGGUAAAGGCCUACCAAGGCGAUGAUCUAUAGCUGGUCUGAGAGGAUGAUCAGCCACACUGGAACUGAGAUACGGUCCAGACUCCUACGGGAGGCAGCAGUGGGGAAUAUUGGACAAUGGGCGCAAGCCUGAUCCAGCUAUGCCGCGUGAGUGAGGAAGGCCCUAGGGUUGUAAAACUCUUUCAGUAGGGAAGAUAAUGACGGUACCUACAGAAGAAGUCCCGGCAAACUCCGUGCCAGCAGCCGCGGUAAUACGGAGGGGGCGAGCAUUGUUCGGAAUUAUUGGGCGUAAAGGGCAUGUAGGCGGUUUGGUAAGUUAAAGGUGAAAUGCCAGGGCUUAACCCUGGAGCUGCUUUUAAUACUGCCAGACUAGAGACCGGGAGAGGAUAGCGGAAUUCCUAGUGUAGAGGUGAAAUUCGUAGAUAUUAGGAGGAACACCAGUGGCGAAGGCGGCUAUCUGG
rnacentral:rRNA from 1 species